UUAAAAAAUGUUCAAAUUUAGGUCCUGGACACAGGGUAGCAGCACUCCUCAACAAAAGAAUAGAUGUAACAAAAUGUCCAACAACCUGUCAAAGUACAUUUUCACAGUCAGAGCAGAUCUCUCGUAGUAGCACUCAGAGCAGCUCUGAGAGAGUUCUGUACUCUUGGUGUCCAGACGCUGUCCUGGUGUUUGGGGUCUCUGCACUUCAAAUGAGU